GGGGGGGGGGGGGGGGGGGGGGGGGGGGGGGGGGGGGGGGGGGGGGGGGGGGCUGGGGUGGGGUGCUGGGGGGGGGGACGGGUGCGUAAGACGUGGGUGACCUGCCCUUGGCUGUGGGAUAACUUCAGGAGACGGGGGCUCAUGCCGGAUAGGGGCUCCUUGUGCAUGGUGUGGGUUGGGAAGUUUCGGGGGUGGGGGAUGUACUCUCGACUUAUCAGCUUGUUGGUGGGGUAGUGGCUUACCAAGGCUGUGACGGGUAGCCGGCCUGCGAGGGUGACCGGCCAAAUUGGGACUGAGAUACGGCCCAGACUCCUACGGGAGGCAGCAGUGGGGAAUAUUGAAAAAUGGGCGGAAGCCGUAUGCAGCAACGCCGCGUGCGGGAUGACGGCCUUCGGGUUGUAAACCGCUUUCGCCUGUGGCGAAGCGUGAGUGACGGUAAUGGGUAAAGAAGCACCGGCUAACUACGUG
rnacentral:rRNA from 1 species